rnacentral:rRNA from 1 species
CACGUAGGCACCAAGCGUUGUCCGGAUUUAUUGGGCGUAAAGAGCUCGUAGGCGGUUGAGUAAGUCGGGUGUGAAAACUCUGGGCUUAACCCAGAGCCGCCACCCGAUACUGCUCUGACUUGAGUUCGGUAGGGGAGCAGGGAAUUCCUAGUGUAGCGGUGAAAUGCGCAGAUAUUAGGAGGAACACCGGUGGCGAAGGCGCCACUCUGGGCCGAAACUGACGCUGAGGAGCGAAAGCGUGGGGAGCAAACAGG